AGCGAACGCUGGCGGCAGGCCUAACACAUGCAAGUCGAACGAACCUUUCGGGGUUAGUGGCGGACGGGUGAGUAACACGUGGGAACGUGCCUUUAGGUUCGGAAUAACUCAGGGAAACUUGUGCUAAUACCGAAUGUGCCCUUCGGGGGAAAGAUUUAUCGCCUUUAGAGCGGCCCGCGUCUGAUUAGCUAGUUGGUUGAGGUAAUGGCUCACCAAGGCGACGAUCAGUAGCUGGUCUGAGAGGAUGAUCAGCCACAUUGGGACUGAGACACGGCCCAAACUCCUACGGGAGGCAGCAGUGGGGAAUCUUGCGCAAUGGGCGAAAGCCUGACGCAGCCAUGCCGCGUGAAUGAUGAAGGUCUUAUGAUUGUAAAAUUCUUUCACCGGGGACGAUAAUGACGGUACCCGGAGAAGAAGCCCCGGCUAACUUCGUG
rnacentral:rRNA from 1 species